rnacentral:rRNA from 1 species
CCUCAUAAGUCUUAACGGAGAAAGCUUUAUGCGCCGAAGGAUGAGCCUGCACUUGAUUAGUUUGUUGGUAGGGUAAUGGCCUACCAAGACUUUGAUCUAUAGCUGAUCUGAGAGGAUGAUCAGCCACAUUGGGACUGAGACACGGCCCAAACUCCUACGGGAGGCAGCAGUAGGGAAUAUUGCACAAUGGAGGAAACUCUGAUGCAGCGAUGCCGCGUGAGUGAAGAAGGCCUUUGGGUUGUAAAGCUCUUUCGUCGGGGAAGAAAAUGACUGUACCCGAAUAAGAAGGUCCGGCUAACUUCGUGCCAGCAGCCGCGGUAAUACGAAGGGACCUAGCGUAGUUCGGAAUUACUGGGCUUAAAGAGUUCGUAGGUGGUUAAAAAAGUUGGUGGUGAAAUCCCAGAGCUUAACUCUGGAACUGCCAUCAAAACUUUUUAGCUAGAGUAUGAUAGAGGAAAGCAGAAUUUCUAGUGUAGAGGUGAAAUUCGUAGAUAUUAGAAAGAAUACCAAUUGCGAAGGCAGCUUUCUGGAUCAUUACUGACGCUGA